GGUGAACGCUGGCGGCGUGCCUAACACAUGCAAGUCGAGCGGUGCAGUUUGAAGCUUCGGUGGAAAGCUGCAUAGCGGCGGACGGGUGAGGAAAACGUAGGAACGUGCCCCUUGGAGUUGGAUAGCCACGGGAAACUGUGGGUAAACCGACAUAGACUCGAGAGAGUAAAGGCCGAAAGGCGCCAAGGGAGCGGCCUGCGGCCCAUCAGGUAGUUGGUAGUGUAAAGGACUACCAAGCCGACGACGGGUAGCCGGUCUGAGAGGAUGGCCGGCCACACUGGAACUGAGACACGGUCCAGACUCCUACGGGAGGCAGCAGUGGGGAAUAUUGGGCAAUGGGCGCAAGCCUGACCCAGCAACGCCGCGUGAGGGAAGAAGGCUUUCGGGUUGUAAACCUCUGUCCUUGGUGACGAAACAAAUGACGGUAGCCAAGGAGGAAGCCACGGCUAACUACGUG
rnacentral:rRNA from 1 species